rnacentral:lncRNA from 1 species
AUGGGAGAGGAGGAGAGGACAGGAGAAUUAAUUGUAUUAGAAGGCUCAGGAGGUCAUCUUGCUGCAAGGAAUGUUAAGCAGAGAGCUUCAGCUGGAUUAUUACGAUUUGUUUGGGAGGAUUUGGCUUGGGUGUUGGCCAUCUGUGGAAUAGAUGAAAAUGCACACUGCCUGUGUGGUGAUGAGAGAAUUGAAGGUGUGUGCCAUUUUUUCUUGCUUUGUCACAAAUGUAAUCUCAAAAAAGACUCUCUUCUUUUUAAUAUAGUACUUACUCUCCUCUAUUUUUUUUGCUGUUAUCGUGUUUGGGUGAGAAAAAUAGUUGCUGUGUAUUAGGCAAGUAGAGGAAGCUGUUCUACUGCCAUCUCUAUGGGCUAAUCCUGUUUUCCCAUCUGUGUUUUAUCCAUUUCUUAGGGAGGCAGGACUGUGUGAAGAAACUUCCUUAAAAACACAAUUUAAUUGUAAUUGUCAUAGAAAUCCAUUGAUUUUGCCUACUUAAAACUGACCAUGCAUUUAGGUGCUUGAGUCUAAAGGAAAACAGUGUGACCUUUUUGUUAAUGAAAUGUAGUUCCUCUGUCUCUGCUAACGCUGCAGUAUUUUCAUUGCCAUGUUAACUACCUUUAAGACAGAAGGGAAAAGUUGGAAUAAUCACAGCUACUUUUUUUUUUUUUUUUUUUUUUUUUGGGGUGUUUUUUGUACUGGGGGUCCAGAGAUGAUUUUUUGCCUUACUUGACUCUCCAGUGCUCCCAGUAUAUUUUCCCCUGCCCUCAGCAGCAUGCUUUGUUAAGAGAUCUGUGCAGAUCCCAUGUAAAGGGAUCCCUUGUAAAGAGAUUCCUUGUAAAAUCAUAUUCUCAAAAGCCAAAUCACACCUCUAAUGAGUCUGCUGAUCUUCCAUCUCAGUUUAUUCUUGUAUAAAUGGGGAGGUUCUUCAUAUAUCAUCUGUGGAUGUGUGUAUAAAUAUUCAGAAUUUGUUAUUAUUGUGGGAAGUGGGAAAUCUUGUUCAGCAUCACUGAAUCAACCUUACCUACCCUUGUCAGCUUAUUUUAUUACCUUUUUUAAAUUUUUGCUACUGGGUAUCCAAAACUUAUGUGGUAUUCUAGUUGUGUAUUUCAGGAGGGAUUUAUUAAUGGGAGUUUUGCCUGUAGAGUAAACACCAGCAUAUUCUUGGCCUUCCAUAUUGCCACCCGGGGCUAACUUCUGGCUUACUUUUGGCCUGUUCCCCACCUGGGUCCCCAGCUUUCUUUCAGCAGACCUGCUCCCUAGGUAGUCAGUCCUAGGUCUGUAAAGGGAUAAGUCCAACACAGGUAGGGGACUACGUGUCUCAUUUCUGAGUUUCAUGAAAUAUCUAUGGAGUAAUGGUGGAGGGGGUCUGGAUGUACGCUUCUUAAGCUUGAGGGGUUGAGCCUGCUACAUAGUUCAGUUUAUUUCACUGUUUUAGGAACUUCUGUAGUUCUUCCUAAGUCACAUCUAACUUUAAAAUAUUGUUAUGAAUUUGAAUGUUAUAUACAAAUCAUUUUAAUUUUAUUUUCAAAACUUGGCACAUAUUAGUAAUAAAACAGAGGAAGAGAAGAAGAUGCA